rnacentral:lncRNA from 1 species
AGGUACAGCGAAAUCGCGAAAUGAGCGAGAUAGCGAGGGCGUAGUGGCAGUUUGUGGAGAGCAAGGAAUGAACAGUGCAGGACAGAGGUGAUGAGGGACAGGUCAGUGCAAAGAAGAAGAAGUGGAGGAGAAAGUGCACGACAGAGGUGAUGAGAGACAGCUCAGAGCAAAGAAGAAGUGGAGGAGAAAGUGCAGGACAGAGGUGAUGAGAGACAGGUCAGGGCAUAGAAGAAGAGGAGGAGAGAGAAGAGGAGAAGCAGCAGCACUA